GCUCAGGACGACCUGCGCGUGCCUAAUACAUGCAGUCGACGAUUCUCGUGUGAUCGUGCUGCACCGAGACCCCAUAAACGAGUGCGAACUGUGAGUACACGUGGAAUCUGCAGAAGCAGGGGAUAACACUUGGAAACAGAUGCUAAUACCGCAUAGAUCCAAGAUCCGCAUGGUUCUUGUCUGAAAGAUGGCGUAAGCUAUCGCUUUUGGAUGGACCCGCGGCGUAUUAGCUAGUUGGUGAGGUAAUGGCUCACCAAGGCGAUGAUACGUAGCCGAACUGAGAGGUUGAUCGGCCACAUUGGGACUGAGACACGGCCCAAACUCCUACGGGAGGCAGCAGUAGGGAAUCUUCCACAAUGGACGCAAGUCUGAUGGAGCAACGCCGCGUGAGUGAAGAAGGCUUUCGGCUCGUAAAACUCUGUUGUUGGAGAAGAAUGACUCUGUGAGAGUAACUGUUGUCGGCGUGACGGUAUCUUAACCAGAAAGCCACGGCUAACUACGUGCCAGCAGCCGCGGUAAUACGUAGGUGGCAAGCGUUAUCCGGAUUUAUUGGGCGUAAAGCGAGCGCAGGCGGUUUUUUAAGUCUGAUGUGAAAGCCCUCGGCUUAACCGAGGAAGCGCAUCGGAAACUGGGAAACUUGAGUGCAGAAGAGGACAGUGGAACUCCAUGUGUAGCGGUGAAAUGCGUAGAUAUAUGGAAGAACACCAGUGGCGAAGGCGGCUGUCUGGUCUGUAACUGACGCUGAGGCUCGAAAGCAUGGGUAGCGAACAGGAUUAGAUACCCUGGUAGUCCAUGCCGUAAACGAUGGGUUGUAGUUGUUGGAGGGUUUCCGCCCUUCAGUGCCGCAGCUAACGCAUUAAGCACUCCGCCUGGGGAGUACGACCGCAAGGUUGAAACUCAAAGGAAUUGACGGGGGCCCGCACAAGCGGUGGAGCAUGUGGUUUAAUUCGAAGCAACGCGAAGAACCUUACCAGGUCUUGACAUCUUUUGAUCACCUGAGAGAUCAGGUUUCCCCUUCGGGGGCAAAAUGACAGGUGGUGCAUGGUUGUCGUCAGCUCGUGUCGUGAGAUGUUGGGUUAAGUCCCGCAACGAGCGCAACCCUUAUGACUAGUUGCCAGCAUUUAGUUGGGCACUCUAGUAAGACUGCCGGUGACAAACCGGAGGAAGGUGGGGAUGACGUCAAAUCAUCAUGCCCCUUAUGACCUGGGCUACACACGUGCUACAAUGGAUGGUACAACGAGUUGCGAGACCGCGAGGUCAAGCUAAUCUCUUAAAGCCAUUCUCAGUUCGGACUGUAGGCUGCAACUCGCCUACACGAAGUCGGAAUCGCUAGUAAUCGCGGAUCAGCAUGCCGCGGUGAAUACGUUCCCGGGCCUUGUACACACCGCCCGUCACACCA
rnacentral:rRNA from 1 species